rnacentral:lncRNA from 1 species
UCAACAAAGUUUAUUCCGUAUAUAAUUAGGUUUAAAAGUUUGUGUUUUAUAUAAGCAAUAGAUAAAAGAUAUUGAUUCUAAUUUAGCCCGUACAUAUAUAUAUAUAUCUAUAUCUAUAUAUAUCUUCUAUUUCAUUCUCCACUCUUACAACUAACACGUAUUCAUAACAACAAGCUAUACAUGAAGAGGAUAAAACUAUACGUAGGGGCGAAAGGGGUGCCCUUGACCCUUGAAAAAAAAAUUCUUUAAAUAAUUUUUUUAGUUUUGAAGAAGUCAGAAGCUAAUAUAAUAUUAAAAUUACACUUUGGUUUACAAUAUUCCUUUUGGCCCUAAACUAAUUUCUUGAUUUUGUCCUUGACUAUAUGUACCCUAAUAAACCAAAAAUCUACCUUCAACUAAUAAUUGAUAUUUUUAUUAAAUAAAAUAUAACAAUCCUUCCACAUGGUUCCGUCGAAACAUAUCCCAACAGUAGAGAACCUUUUGGGAAAAACUGGAAAUACAGUGGUAGAGAAACCAAUUAGAAACAAUGGCCAAAAACUGGGCAAGUAAAUGAUGGGACAGAUUAAAAAGCAAAAUGAAGAAGGGUGAAGGUUUGAAGUUACAGAGAAUGGUGGUAAAAUGGAAAUGAGUUUGUGAUAAGAGGGAGGAUUGUUGAUCAGCUUCCACCGCAUCUCACUUAUUUGUUGGGCAUGGGAAGUAAAAUCGCAGACUCCGACUUCACUAUAUACAGAACUUCUGCGAUAAGUAGGUAAGUCAUGUAUAUAUGGCACAAGUUUGU